rnacentral:rRNA from 1 species
GACGAACGCUGGCGGCGUGCUUAACACAUGCAAGUCGAACGGAAAGGCCCUGCUUUUGUGGGGUGCUCGAGUGGCGAACGGGUGAGUAACACGUGAGUAACCUGCCCUUGACUUUGGGAUAACUUCAGGAAACUGGGGCUAAUACCGGAUAGGAGCUCCUGCUGCAUGGUGGGGGUUGGAAAGUUUCGGCGGUUGGGGAUGGACUCGCGGCUUAUCAGCUUGUUGGUGGGGUAGUGGCUUACCAAGGCUUUGACGGGUAGCCGGCCUGAGAGGGUGACCGGCCACAUUGGGACUGAGAUACGGCCCAGACUCCUACGGGAGGCAGCAGUGGGGAAUAUUGCACAAUGGGCGGAAGCCUGAUGCAGCAACGCCGCGUGCGGGAUGACGGCCUUCGGGUUGUAAACCGCUUUCGCCUGUGACGAAGCGUGAGUGACGGUAAUGGGUAAAGAAGCACCGGCUAACUACGUGCCAGCAGCCGCGGUGAUACGUAGGGUGCGAGCGUUGUCCGGAUUUAUUGGGCGUAAAGGGCUCGUAGGUGGUUGAUCGCGUCGGAAGUGUAAUCUUGGGGCUUAACCCUGAGCGUGCUUUCGAUACGGGUUGACUUGAGGAAGGUAGGGGAGAAUGGAAUUCCUGGUGGAGCGGUGGAAUGCGCAGAUAUCAGGAGGAACACCAGUGGCGAAGGCGGUUCUCUGGGCCUUUCCUGACGCUGAGGAGCGAAAGCGUGGGGAGCGAACAGGCUUAGACACCCUGGUAGUCCACGCUGUAAACGGUGGGUACUAGGUGUGGGGUCCGUUCCACGGGUUCCGUGCCGUAGCUAACGCUUUAAGUACCCCGCCUGGGGAGUACGGCCGCAAGGCUAAAACUCAAAGGAAUUGACGGGGCCCCGCACAAGCGGCGGAGCAUGCGGAUUAAUUCGAUGCAACGCGUAGAACCUUACCUGGGUUUGACAUGGAUCGGGAGUGCUCAGAGAUGGGUGUGCCUCUUUUGGGGUCGGUUCACAGGUGGUGCAUGCCUGUCGUCAGCUCGUGUCGUGAGAUGUUGGGUUAAGUCCCGCAACGAGCGCAACCCUUGUUCACUGUUGCCAGCACGUUAUGGUGGGGACUCAGUGGAGACCGCCGGGGUCAACUCGGAGGAAGGUGGGGAUGACGUCAAGUCCUCAUGCCCCUUAUGUCCAGGGCUUCACGCAUGCUACAAUGGCUGGUACAGAGAGUGGCGAGCCUGUGAGGGUGAGCGAAUCUCGGAAAGCCGGUCUCAGUUCGGAUUGGGGUCUGCAACUCGACCUCAUGAAGUCGGAGUCGCUAGUAAUCGCAGAUCAGCAACGCUGCGGUGAAUACGUUCCCGGG